AGAGCUUGCUCUCGGGUGACGAGCGGCGGACGGGUGAGUAAUGUCUGGGAAACUGCCUGAUGGAGGGGGAUAACUACUGGAAACGGUAGCUAAUACCGCAUAACGUCGCAAGACCAAAGUGGGGGACCUUCGGGCCUCAUGCCAUCAGAUGUGCCCAGAUGGGAUUAGCUGGUAGGUGGGGUAACGGCUCACCUAGGCGACGAUCCCUAGCUGGUCUGAGAGGAUGACCAGCCACACUGGAACUGAGACACGGUCCAGACUCCUACGGGAGGCAGCAGUGGGGAAUAUUGCACAAUGGGCGCAAGCCUGAUGCAGCCAUGCCGCGUGUGUGAAGAAGGCCUUCGGGUUGUAAAGCACUUUCAGCGGGGAGGAAGGCGGUGAGGUUAAUAACCUUGUCGAUUGACGUUACCCGCAGAAGAAGCACCGGCUAACUCCGUGCCAGCAGCCGCGGUAAUACGGAGGGUGCAAGCGUUAAUCGGAAUUACUGGGCGUAAAGCGCACGCAGGCGGUCUGUCAAGUCGGAUGUGAAAUCCCCGGGCUCAACCUGGGAACUGCAUUCGAAACUGGCAGGCUAGAGUCUUGUA
rnacentral:rRNA from 1 species